UCUAUGGAGAGUUUGAUCCUGGCUCAGGACGAACGCUGGCGGCGUGCCUAAUACAUGCAAGUCGAGCGGAUCGAAAAGAAGCUUGCUU
rnacentral:rRNA from 1 species